GUGGUGGCUCAGCGGUAGAGCGCUCGCCUAGCACGUGUGAGGCCCUGGGUUCAAUCCUCAGCACCACA
rnacentral:tRNA from 1 species